rnacentral:rRNA from 1 species
AUACGGAGGGCGCAAGCGUUGUUCGGAAUUAUUGGGCGUAAAGCGCGUGUAGGCGGUUUCUUAAGUCUGAUGUGGAAGCCCCGGGCUCAACCUGGGAAGUGCAUUGGAAACUGGGAGACUUGAGUACGGGAGAGGGUAGUGGAAUUCCUAGUGUAGGAGUGAAAUCCGUAGAUAUUAGGAGGAACACCGGUGGCGAAGGCGGCUACCUGGACCGAUACUGACGCUGAGACGCGAAAGCGUGGGGAGC